CUCACCUACCAUCUUCAUAUUAGGGUACUGACUUAUGUGGAUCCCCCAAAACCCUAUGAAGCUGGUGUCAUUAACAAGUCACUUCCGUUUUAAAGAGGAAGAAAAGCUGCAAAGUGGAUUGGGCUCUCCAGAGAAACUUACAAGAAACCAGACAAAAUCACUAAGUCAUUCUGUCCCAGCCCUUUUCAGUGACCUAGAGUAAACUUGACUCAUUGUAAUAUUAAAAUGCUCUGCCCAGAGACAUUCCUGCCUGCCUGAUUCCAUUCCUGCCAU